rnacentral:rRNA from 1 species
AGUGGGGAAUAUUGCACAAUGGGCGAAAGCCUGAUGCAGCGACGCCGCGUGAGGGAUGACGGCCUUCGGGUUGUAAACCUCUUUCACCAGGGACGAAGCUAACGUGACGGUACCUGGAGAAGAAGCACCGGCUAACUACGUGCCAGCAGCCGCGGUAAUACGUAGGGUGCGAGCGUUGUCCGGAAUUAUUGGGCGUAAAGAGCUUGUAGGCGGUUUGUCGCGUCUGCUGUGAAAGACCGGGGCUUAACUCCGGUUCUGCAGUGGGUACGGGCAGACUAGAGUGUGGUAGGGGAGACUGGAAUUCCUGGUGUAGCGGUGAAAUGCGCAGAUAUCAGGAGGAACACCGAUGGCGAAGGCAGGUCUCUGGGCCAUUACUGACGCUGAGAAGCGAAAGCAUGGGGAGCGAA